AAAAGAUAAAAAUGAAAAAAAAUGUAACCCCAAUCCGCCGUAGAGCAAACCCCGGAGAGGUCAUUAUAUUUUUCCCAAACGAAAACCCUAGGAUUGUGUGCUCAAAUGUAAAUUCCGCCUCCUCCUUUGGCACCGUCUCUCUCACGAUUCCGUUGCUCACUAACACGCUUUGCGCGUGGUGGGAAUUUUUCAGCAGCGAAUAGUUCAAUUGAUAUGGAUCAAAUGGAAGAACUUGAAAUGAGCGAUGAGGUGGAAGGGGAACUUAGCAUUGGUGAUGGUGAGGUAAUUGGUUCAAAUGAGUCGGUGAUUCCUGAACCAUUCUUUGUGCAGGCAAGGCAGGAAGAGACAAAGAUUGCUUGAUGUGAGGGUGGCAAAGAAGUGCUCCAUGGACUUGCAAUGGAGAAGCAACAGGCAUCCUCUGGUGUGGCUGGAUUUCUUGGGGUGGAUGCUGCAGUGACAAAUGAACCAAUUGUCGAGGAGCUCAAUCCAGGAGUAGUUUUAGCCACACAUGAGGUGCAAAACUCGGAUUGCAAUAUUGCAAUUUCGUCACACAAGGAUGUCCUCUUGACUGAGGAGAGCUGGAAUGGCGUUAUAAUUGCUUCCGACUUGGCCUCUUUUUUGAAGGUAGCAUCCUCGUGUCAUCCAGAGACUUUCAAAUCUCUAUGUGGCCGUCAUGUCAUCAUAAGGCGUUUUGCAUUUAACUGCAUUGGAAGGGUUCUACAGAUUUUUGUCCAAUGGUAACUACGAAGAGCCUUUGUUUAUCAGAAGCAAAGUGUUUGGUGAAAAAUUUGAAGGGUGUUGGUGCCCAGGUUGUCUGGCUCGAUGAGCAAUUGAGCAUUAUAGCAGAGAAGGCUUCGAGAAGGGGCCAGUCUUUGAGCUCUUUUGAAGGUGAGUCGUGCUGAAUAUGCUAUCUUCCAGGGCUAUUAUGAUGACUAAGACUGCGAUGCAACUAGGUUAACUAUCUAUUUGUUAUAAUAUGUUAUUUAAGGAAAUGUUAUGGAAACCAGUAUGUUUGCUUUUCUUCAUUUAUUAACGGUAAUGCUUGAUUUUGGAAA